rnacentral:rRNA from 1 species
GACGAACGCUGGCGGCGUGCUUAACACAUGCAAGUCGAACGAAGUCGCGAACGGGUGAGUAACGCGUAAUCAACCUGCCCUUCAGGGGGGGACAACAGUUGGAAACGACUGCUAAUACCGCAUACUGAAGGAGGGGAUUGCGUCGGAUUAGCUAGUUGGAGGGGGAACGGCCCACCAAGGCGAUGAUCAGUAGCCGGUCUUGGGAGAUGAACGGCCACAAUGGGACUGAGACAAGGCCCAGACUUCUACGGGAGGCAGCAGUGGGGAAUCUUCCGCAAUGGACGAAAGUCUGACGGAGCAAAGCCGCGUGGGUGAAGACGGCCUUCGGGGUGGAAAGCUCUGUUAAUCGGGACGCGGUACCGGAAUAGAAAGCCACGGCUAACUACGUGCCAGCAGCCGCGGUAAUAC